rnacentral:rRNA from 1 species
AUUGAACGCUGGCGGCAGGCCUAACACAUGCAAGUCGAGCGGAUGAAGGGAGCUUGCUCCUGGAUUCAGCGGCGGACGGGUGAGUAAUGCCUAGGAAUCUGCCUGGUAGUGGGGGAUAACGUCCGGAAACGGGCGCUAAUACCGCAUACGUCCUGAGGGAGAAAGUGGGGGAUCUUCGGACCUCACGCUAUCAGAUGAGCCUAGGUCGGAUUAGCUAGUUGGUGGGGUAAAGGCCUACCAAGGCGACGAUCCGUAACUGGUCUGAGAGGAUGAUCAGUCACACUGGAACUGAGACACGGUCCAGACUCCUACGGGAGGCAGCAGUGGGGAAUAUUGGACAAUGGGCGAAAGCCUGAUCCAGCCAUGCCGCGUGUGUGAAGAAGGUCUUCGGAUUGUAAAGCACUUUAAGUUGGGAGGAAGGGCUGUAAGUUAAUACCUUGCUGUUUUGACGGUACCAACAGAAUAAGCACCGGCUAACUUCGUG